rnacentral:rRNA from 1 species
GUGGAUUGUACUAGAAGUUCGCAGACUAACCGCAAGGAGGUAGCGACCCAAGGUAUGAUUCAUGAUUGGGGUGAAGUCGUAACAAGGUAGCCGUAGGUGAACCUGCAGAAGGAUCA